rnacentral:lncRNA from 1 species
GCGCGGGGCUGCUGACGUCAUCUGCAGGCCCUGGAGACGCGACUGCAGUUACCGAGUUUCUAAGGCCUCGUCCCCUGACGGGAAGGCGGCGUUGGGGGGCGGCUGGGUUUACCCUUCGAGAUCUCUGAUGGAUUUGUUGACUCCUCUGUGGGAGAAAGGCUUGGUCUACUGCAGGUGUUAACGCUAAGCCAGGCUGGAGCUGUGGACGUCAGUUUCCUCAGCUCCCCGCUGUUCGCUUCGAACGUGACCUCGACGUCUGCUCUCCCCUUCCCUUUAGCUGACAAUGUGACAGUGCUUGAAUAAAAGUCAGUCUGACAGGAACGAGACGGGGCUUCGCCAUCUUUCCCAGGCUGGUCUCAAACUCCUGAGCUCAAGUGACCCUCCUGCCUUGGCCUCCCAGAGUGCUGGGAUUACAGGCAUGAGCAAUGGUGCCUGGCCCAAAAUUCAUACAUUAGCAAAAGUAGGGAGAAUAAAGUAAUGAACACUCAUUUUCCACCUUCAGCAAUAUCAACGUGGAUCAAUCUUGUUUCAUCUAUACCCCAGAUUAUUUUGGGGCAAACUAUAAAUAUAGUUAUACUAUAACUAUCCAUAUCUUAUUAUGUACUUUAGAAGGUGAAGCUCUUAAAAUACAGACAUAAAUGAAAUCUAACUGGCAUACUGUGGUAAGCCGAAUUCUAAGAUGGCCUCUAAGAUUCCUGGCCCCUGGUACACACAUACCUUUUCCCAGUUAGUUAAUCAAACAUGAAUUUGGGUGCUGCUACAAAGGGAUUUUGGUAAUUAAGUUCCCAGAUCAGUUGUUUUUACGCUGAAGAUAUUAUCCUCCAUGGGCCUGACCCAAUCAGAUGAGUCCUUAAGUAGGAUAGGGCUUUUCCUGGCAAAAGAUAUUAAAAAUGUGAGAAGCAUUCAAUAGGAGGAAGGUUCUCCAGGAUGGAAGGGGAUACUUAGCAAGGACCUAAGAGUGGCCUCUUGGAGCUAAGAGUAACCCCCAGCCAACAGCAAGAAAAUGAGCAGCUCAGUCCUACAACCAGAAGUAACUGAAUUCUGCCAAAAACCUGAAUGAGCCUGGAAGGAGCUCCUGAGCUCUGAUGAGAACCCAGCUGUCUGCUACCUUCAUUGCA